rnacentral:rRNA from 1 species
CGUUUACCGUGAAAAAAUUAGAGUGUUCAAAGCAGGCAGAUCCAAUUUUCUGCCACCGAAUACAUUAAGCAUGGGAUAAUGGAAUAGGACCCUGUCCUCCUAUUUUCAGUUGGGUUUUUUGGCAGCGCGAGGACUAGGGUAAUGAUUAAUAGGGAUAGUUUGGGGGCAUUAAUAUUUAAUUUGUCAGAGGUGAAAUUCUUGGAUUUAUGAAAGAUUAACUUCUGCGAAAGCAUCUGCCAAGGAUGUUUUCAUUAAUCAAGAACGAAAGUUAGGGGAUCGAAGACGAUCAGAUACCGUCGUAGUCUUAACCAUAAACGAUGCCGACCAGCGAUUAGGAGACGUUGAAUACAAAACACCACCAUCGGUGCGGUCGUCCUUGGCGUCGGUCUUUCGGGGCCGGCGCGGGGACGGCUUAGCCCGGUGGCACCGGUGAAUGACUCCCUAGCACCUUUGUGAGA